rnacentral:tRNA from 1 species
CAAGAUGUAGCUUAAUUAAAGCAUCUAGUUUACACCUAGAAGAUUUUAUAUAUUAUGAAUAUCUUGA